rnacentral:misc_RNA from 1 species
UCCUACCCAAAUCCAAGUAAAUAUAUAGAGCAGGCAAGCAGCUACGCCCGUAAAAUUGCUUCUUCCAUGACGGAACAGCCAGCUACUAACCUGAACUAUGCAGUCUAUGAAGGCUUAAAAUUGACAAGUCUAUCUGGGCUCAGACAGGCCCAAAUAUUGGAAUAUGCAGACCCUCAUCUAUGCUAACAUCCAGCUUAGCAUG